CAGCCGUAAACUAUGCGCGUUAGGUGUAUCGGUGACCACGAGUUACCGAGGUGCCGAAGGGAAACCGUGAAACGUGCCGCCGGGGAAGUACGGUCGCAAGGCUGAAACUUAAAGGAAUUGGCGGGGGAGGCACCACAACAGGUGGAGCCUGCGGUUUAAUUGGACUCAACGCCGGGAAGCUCACCGGAUAGGACAGCAGAAUGAUUGCCGGGCUGAAGACCCUGCAUGACUAGCUGAGAGGAGGUGCAUGGCGUAGACGUCU
rnacentral:rRNA from 1 species